rnacentral:rRNA from 1 species
GGGUUGUGAGGUUAAGCGACUAAGCGUACACGGUGGAUGCCCUGGCAGUCAGAGGCGAUGAAGGACGUGCUAAUCUGCGAUAAGCGCCGGUAAGGUGAUAUGAACCGUUAUAACCGGCGAUUUCCGAAUGGGGAAACCCAGUGUGAUUCGUCACACUAUCAUUAACUGAAUCCAUAGGUUAAUGAGGCGAACCGGGGGAACUGAAACAUCUAAGUACCCCGAGGAAAAGAAAUCAACCGAGAUUCCCCCAGUAGCGGCGAGCGAACGGGGAGGAGCCCAGAGCCUGAAUCAGCAUGUGUGUUAGUGGAAGCGUCUGGAAAGGCGCGCGAUACAGGGUGACAGCCCCGUACACAAAAGCGCAUGUGCUGUGAGCUCGAUGAGUAGGGCGGGACACGUGGUAUCCUGUCUGAAUAUGGGGGGACCAUCCUCCAAGGCUAAAUACUCCUGACUGACCGAUAGUGAACCAGUACCGUGAGGGAAAGGCGAAAAGAACCCCGGCGAGGGGAGUGAAAAAGAACCUGAAACCGUGUACGUACAAGCAGUGGGAGCACCCUUCGGGGUGUGACUGCGUACCUUUUGUAUAAUGGGUCAGCGACUUAUAUUCUGUAGCAAGGUUAACCGUAUAGGGGAGCCGGAGGGAAACCGAGUCUUAAUUGGGCGUUAAGUUGCAGGGUAUAGACCCGAAACCCGGUGAUCUAGCCAUGGGCAGGUUGAAGGUUGGGUAACACUAACUGGAGGACCGAACCGACUAAUGUUGAAAAAUUAGCGGAUGACCUGUGGCUGGGGGUGAAAGGCCAAUCAAACCGGGAGAUAGCUGGUUCUCCCCGAAAGCUAUUUAGGUAGCGCCUCGUGAAUUCAUCUCCGGGGGUAGAGCACUGUUUCGGCUAGGGGGCCAUCCCGGCUUACCAACCCGAUGCAAACUGCGAAUACCGGAGAAUGUUAUCACGGGAGACACACGGCGGGUGCUAACGUCCGUCGUGAAGAGGGAAACAACCCAGACCGCCAGCUAAGGUCCCAAAGUCAUGGUUAAGUGGGAAACGAUGUGGGAAGGCCCAGACAGCCAGGAUGUUGGCUUAGAAGCAGCCAUCAUUUAAAGAAAGCGUAAUAGCUCACUGGUCGAGUCGGCCUGCGCGGAAGAUGUAACGGGGCUAAACCAUGCACCGAAGCUGCGGCAGCGAACGUAUCACCCAAGACAACUUUACGGAGUUGACGAUUGACGGAGCGAAGCGACGUCAAAGCGUUCAUUAAAGUCGAGUUGGCUUAGGGAUACGUUCGUUGGGUAGGGGAGCGUUCUGUAAGCCUGUGAAGGUGUGUCGUGAGGCAUGCUGGAGGUAUCAGAAGUGCGAAUGCUGACAUAAGUAACGAUAAAGCGGGUGAAAAGCCCGCUCGCCGGAAGACCAAGGGUUCCUGUCCAACGUUAAUCGGGGCAGGGUGAGUCGACCCCUAAGGCGAGGCCGAAAGGCGUAGUCGAUGGGAAACGGGUUAAUAUUCCCGUACUUGGUGUUACUGCGAAGGGGGGACGGAGAAGGCUAUGUUGGCCGGGCGACGGUUGUCCCGGUUUAAGCGUGUAGGUGUGUGUUCCAGGUAAAUCCGGUUCACUUUAACACUGAGGCGUGACGACGAGGCACUACGGUGCUGAAGCAACAAAUGCCCUGCUUCCAGGAAAAGCCUCUAAGCAUCAGGUAACAUCAAAUCGUACCCCAAACCGACACAGGUGGUCAGGUAGAGAAUACCAAGGCGCUUGAGAGAACUCGGGUGAAGGAACUAGGCAAAAUGGUGCCGUAACUUCGGGAGAAGGCACGCUGACACGUAGGUGAAGUGAUUUACUCAUGGAGCUGAAGUCAGUCGAAGAUACCAGCUGGCUGCAACUGUUUAUUAAAAACACAGCACUGUGCAAACACGAAAGUGGACGUAUACGGUGUGACGCCUGCCCGGUGCCGGAAGGUUAAUUGAUGGGGUCAGCGCAAGCGAAGCUCCUGAUCGAAGCCCCGGUAAACGGCGGCCGUAACUAUAACGGUCCUAAGGUAGCGAAAUUCCUUGUCGGGUAAGUUCCGACCUGCACGAAUGGCGUAAUGAUGGCCAGGCUGUCUCCACCCGAGACUCAGUGAAAUUGAACUCGCUGUGAAGAUGCAGUGUACCCGCGGCAAGACGGAAAGACCCCGUGAACCUUUACUAUAGCUUGACACUGAACAUUGAGCCUUGAUGUGUAGGAUAGGUGGGAGGCUUUGAAGUGUGGACGCCAGUCUGCAUGGAGCCGACCUUGAAAUACCACCCUUUAAUGUUUGAUGUUCUAACGUGGACCCGUAAUCCGGGUUGCGGACAGUGUCUGGUGGGUAGUUUGACUGGGGCGGUCUCCUCCUAAAGAGUAACGGAGGAGCACGAAGGUUGGCUAAUCCUGGUCGGACAUCAGGAGGUUAGUGCAAUGGCAUAAGCCAGCUUGACUGCGAGCGUGACGGCGCGAGCAGGUGCGAAAGCAGGUCAUAGUGAUCCGGUGGUUCUGAAUGGAAGGGCCAUCGCUCAACGGAUAAAAGGUACUCCGGGGAUAACAGGCUGAUACCGCCCAAGAGUUCAUAUCGACGGCGGUGUUUGGCACCUCGAUGUCGGCUCAUCACAUCCUGGGGCUGAAGUAGGUCCCAAGGGUAUGGCUGUUCGCCAUUUAAAGUGGUACGCGAGCUGGGUUUAGAACGUCGUGAGACAGUUCGGUCCCUAUCUGCCGUGGGCGCUGGAGAACUGAGGGGGGCUGCUCCUAGUACGAGAGGACCGGAGUGGACGCAUCACUGGUGUUCGGGUUGUCAUGCCAAUGGCACUGCCCGGUAGCUAAAUGCGGAAGAGAUAAGUGCUGAAAGCAUCUAAGCACGAAACUUGCCCCGA